GAUGAAGAACGUAGCGAAAUGCGAUAAGUAAUGUGAAUUGCAGAAUUCCGUGAAUCAUCGAAUCUUUGAACGCGCAUUGCGCCCUCUGGUAUUCCGGGGGGCAUGCCUGCCUGGGUGUCGCACAUCGUUGCCCCAAUGCCUCAGCGCUGUUGCAAGGCAUGGCAAAGGGGCGAAUGUUGGCUUCCCGCGAGCGAUGCCCUCACGGUUGGCUGAAAAUCGAGUCCGUGGUGGAGUGUGCCGCGAUGGAUGGUGGUUGAGUAAAAGCUCGAGACCGAUCGUGUGUGUCGCCCCGACCGGAUUUGGGACUCCAUGACCCACGAGCGGCCGUUGGCCGCCCACGACGGGACCUCAGGUCAGGCGGGGCUACCCGCUGAGUUUAAGCAUAUCAAUAAGCGGAGGA
rnacentral:misc_RNA from 1 species